rnacentral:rRNA from 1 species
GGAACGAACGCUGGCGGCAUGCCUAAUACAUGCAAGUCGAACGAACACUUCGGUGUUAGUGGCGCACGGGUGCGUAACGCGUGGGAAUCUGCCCUUGGGUUCGGAAUAACAGUUGGAAACGACUGCUAAUACCGGAUGAUAUCGAAAGAUCAAAGAUUUAUCGCCCAGGGAUGAGCCCGCGUAGGAUUAGCUAGUUGGUGAGGUAAAGGCUCACCAAGGCGACGAUCCUUAGCUGGUCUGGAAGAGGAUGAUCAGCCACA